GACAGAGGUGCCGAGCGUUAGGCGGAAUCACUGGGCUUAAAGCGCGUGUAGGCGGGUCGUUAAGUGUCCGAGUGAAAUCCCACGGCUCAACCGUGGAACUGCCGGGCAUACUGGCGAUCUUGAGGCAUUCAGGGGCGAGCGGAACAAAUGGUGGAGCGGUGAAAUGCGUAGAUAUCAUUUGGAACGCCAAUGGUGAAAACAGCUCGCUGGGAAUGAUCUGACGCUGAGACGCGAAAGCCAGGGGAGCGAACGGG
rnacentral:rRNA from 1 species